GGGAGCCGUGUGAUCGGAGACGAUCAAGCACGGUUCUGAGAGAGCCGGGGGGUGAGACUCCCCCCGGCUACUCGCU
rnacentral:ncRNA from 1 species